AUGAAUAUUAAAAGCUAUGGUGCUGUGGUGAGUCUCAAAAAAUGGUCUGAAUCUGUGGGUGCCAAGGGUGUACUUAACAUUGCUUGGGUCAAUGUUAGCAACAUCCCUUUGGACAAAAUAUGUGAAAAAAACAUUGCUUAUGUUGGACCUUUGGUGGGUGUAACUCUUGACAUCGACAAAUCCACUGUCAACAGACCCGGGUCGGUCAGGAUUAAGCUGGGGUGUAGAGAUGCUGAGGACAUUCCAGCUAAGGCAGAGGGGGUGUUGGGAGAUCAUUUUUAUGAUUUCUUCUACUCAGUGGAUAAAAUUCUGGUUAAAAAUAAUCCCAAGGAAAAUGUGAUAAUAACUUAG
rnacentral:rRNA from 1 species